rnacentral:rRNA from 1 species
GACGAACGCUGGCGGCGUGCUUAACACAUGCAAGUCGAACGGAAAGGCCCUGCUUUUGUGGGGUGCUCGAGUGGCGAACGGGUGAGUAACACGUGAGUAACCUGCCCUUGACUUUGGGAUAACUUCAGGAAACUGGGGCUAAUACCGGAUAGGAGCUCCUGCUGCAUGGUGGGGGUUGGAAAGUUUCGGCGGUUGGGGAUGGACUCGCGGCUUAUCAGCUUGUUGGUGGGGUAGUGGCUUACCAAGGCUUUGACGGGUAGCCGGCCUGAGAGGGUGACCGGCACGAGGGGGACGGGGGACAGGCCGAGAGGCUGACAGGAGGAGGCAGGGGGGAAGGGGGCACACGGCGGGGAUACUUGCGGCAGCAGCGCGGGGGGGGGGAUGACGGCCUGGGGGUUGUGAACGGGUUGCGCGUGUGAGGAAGGGGGCGAGGCGGUAAGGAGUAGAGAAGCACCGGCUACCAACGUGCCAGCAGACGCGGAAUAAGUCGAAGAGCACACGUCUGAA